rnacentral:rRNA from 1 species
GACGAACGCUGGCGGCGUGCUUAACACAUGCAAGUCGAACGGAAAGGCCCUGCUUUUGUGGGGUGCUCGAGUGGCGAACGGGUGAGUAACACGUGAGUAACCUGCCCUUGACUUUGGGAUAACUUCAGGAAACUGCGGCUAAUACCGGAUAGGAGCUCCUGCUGCAUGGUGGGGGUUGGAAAGUUUCGGCGGUUGGGGAUGGACUCGCGGCUUAUCAGCUUGUUGGUGGGGUAGUGGCUUACCAAGGCUUUGACGGGUAGCCGGCCUGAGAGGGUGACCGGCCACAUUGGGACUGAGAUACGGCCCAGACUCCUACGGGAGGCAGCAGUGGGGAAUAUUGCACAAUGGGCGGAAGCCUGAUGCAGCAACGCCGCGUGCGGGAUGACGGCCUUCGGGUUGUAAUCCGCUUUCGCCUGUGACGAAGCGUGAGUGACGGUAAUGGGUAAAGAAGCACCGGCUAACUACGUG